ACCCACCUGACUUCCAUUCCGAACUCAGAAGUGAAACGAAUUAGCGUCGAUGGUAGUGUGGGGCUUCCCCAUGUGAGAGUAGAACAUCGCCAGGC
rnacentral:rRNA from 1 species